GAUGAACGCUGGCGGCGUGCCUAAUACAUGCAAGUCGAGCGAACAGACGAGGAGCUUGCUCCUCUGACGUUAGCGGCGGACGGGUGAGUAACACGUGGAUAACCUACCUAUAAGACUGGGAUAACUUCGGGAAACCGGAGCUAAUACCGGAUAAUAUAUUGAACCGCAUGGUUCAAUAGUGAAAGACGGUUUUGCUGUCACUUAUAGAUGGAUCCGCGCCGCAUUAGCUAGUUGGUAAGGUAACGGCUUACCAAGGCAACGAUGCGUAGCCGACCUGAGAGGGUGAUCGGCCACACUGGAACUGAGACACGGUCCAGACUCCUACGGGAGGCAGCAGUAGGGAAUCUUCCGCAAUGGGCGAAAGCCUGACGGAGCAACGCCGCGUGAGUGACGAAGGUCUUCGGAUCGUAAAACUCUGUUAUUAGGGAAGAACAAAUGUGUAAGUAACUAUGCACGUCUUGACGGUACCGAAUCAGAAAGCCACGGCUAACUACGUG
rnacentral:rRNA from 1 species